rnacentral:rRNA from 1 species
UGCAAGUCGAGCGGAGUGAUGGUGCUUGCACUAUCACUUAGCGGCGGACGGGUGAGUAAUGCUUAGGAAUCUGCCUAUUAGUGGGGGACAACAUCUCGAAAGGGAUGCUAAUACCGCAUACGUCCUACGGGAGAAAGCAGGGGAUCUUUUGUAACCUUGCCCUAUUAAAUAACCCUAAUUCGAAUUACCUAUUUGGGGGGGUAAAGGCCUACCAAGGCAACAAUUUGUACCGGGUCUAAAAGGAUAAUCCCCCCCCCGGGAACGGAAACCCGGCCCAAACCCCUACGGAAGGCACCAUUGGGAAAUAUGGAACAAGGGGGGAAACCCUGAUCCACCCUUGCCCCGGGUGUGAAAAAGGCCUUAUGGUUGUAAAGCAUUUUAACCAAGAAGAAGGCUUUUUUGUUUAAUACCUGGAAUAAUUGAACUUUACUCCCAAAAUAACCACCGGCAAAUUCUGUGCCACCACCCCCGGUAUUACAAAGGGUGCAACCUUUAUUCGAAUUUACGGGGCUUAAACCGCCCGUAGGCGGCCAUUUAAUUCAAAUGUGAAUUCCCCAACCUUACCUUGGAAUUUGCAUUCAAUACGGGUUGGUUAGAGUGUGGAAAGGAUGGUAGAAUUCCAGGUGUAGCGGUGAAAUGCGUAGAGAUCUGGAGGAAUACCGAUGGCGAAGGCAGCCAUCUGGCCUAACACUGACGCUGAGGUGCGAAAGCAUGGGGAGCAAACAGGAUUAGAUACCCUGGUAGUCCAUGCCGUAAACGAUGUCUACUAGCCGUUGGGGCCUUUGAGGCUUUAGUGGCGCAGCUAACGCGAUAAGUAAACGGCCGGGGGAAUACGGUCGCAAGACUAAAACUCAAAUGAAUUGACGGGGGCCCGCACAAGCGGUGGAGCAUGUGGUUUAAUUCGAUGCAACGCGAAGAACCUUACCUGGCCUUGACAUAGUAGAAACUUUCCAGAGAUGGAUUGGUGCCUUCGGGAAUCUACAUACAGGUGCUGCAUGGCUGUCGUCAGCUCGUGUCGUGAGAUGUUGGGUUAAGUCCCGCAACGAGCGCAACCCUUUUCCUUACUUGCCAGCAUUUCGGAUGGGAACUUUAAGGAUACUGCCAGUGACAAACUGGAGGAAGGCGGGGACGACGUCAAGUCAUCAUGGCCCUUACGGCCAGGGCUACACACGUGCUACAAUGGUCGGUACAAAGGGUUGCUACCUAGCGAUAGGAUGCUAAUCUCAAAAAGCCGAUCGUAGUCCGGAUUGGAGUCUGCAACUCGACUCCAUGAAGUCGGAAUCGCUAGUAAUCGCGGAUCAGAAUGCCGCGGUGAAUACGUUCCCGGGCCUUGUACACACCGCCCGUCACACCAUGGGAGUUUGUUGCACCAGAAGUAGCUAGCCUAACUGCAAAGAGGGCGGUUACCACGGUGUGGCCGAUGAC